CUGGCAUAAGCUGGAAACUUAUUGUAACAGAAUAUGGCUGAUACUCAUCUUCAGUGGGGAAUCACUGCUGUACUGCUAACGCUGGCUCACGGCUGUGCUUGAGUUUCUCCGCAGAGAGAAGGAACACUUCUUAAGAAUCCCACCAAAGUGGAUCUAGUACUUACACCGGAGAGACUAAAAACAAAACAGCCCUAGAUACUCUUCCUGGACCCAUUAACACCUGCAC